GAAGAGCUGAACCAUUGGGCUUGGAACUAUGAUUCUGAAAAUGAAUCAAGCGCGGAGGUGCCUGUAUAAAAACAAUAAGAAGAGUUCUGCAAUGCCAUGGGAAAAAGAGACUCAGAAAACAGUCCUAACUUACCUGAUGAGAAGCAGGAGGUUGUUGCAUGGCUCCUGGCAUUCUUGGGUUUGGUACAACUGCUGGUCCUGCCCUGCGUUGAGCUUGCUGUCUCUGAGCCAUGACCUGCUGCUGCAUGUGCUGGAGGCGGAGCUGAGCUAAGCUGAUCUGUGUUGGGAACUUGGAGAGCUGGUUGGGAGGCUGAAGAGCUGCACUAAUUGAUCAAAUAAGAACAACAGGGAUUUCUAACAGCUGCCCUACAGCUUUCAGCAAACAGCAGGUUACAGAGCCAGCAGUGAUACUGCUUAUGUUCCCAUGGUGCAUCUCCUUCUGUUGCUGUAAUCUGCAGUAGGUAACUAAACCAUGAGCCAGAGCCUGUUGGCUGACAUGGAUGAACAUCCACAUCCACUGAAGAAAUCUAGUCUUCCUAUGGUUUCCUCCAUUUUCUUAGAACUAAAGAAGGACUCCCUCAGAGGCGCUUUCCCAGGACGACACCUCAGCACUAAGAAUGAAGCUUAAGAAAAUUAAGAAAAAAAUCUUCUACCAAAACUGGUCUUCAUAAGUGCCAUUUAUAUCCCUUCUGUCCUUUAGACUCACGUAAUCUCUUUCCACAUUCUUGCACCGUGUUAUAAAUACAUAUUAUAUUAUUGGCUUUUUGCAAAUAUUAAAAUUAAUGCUAUAUGUAUAAUGUUGGAAUAACUUUGCUAUAUGAAUAUAGUUUUUAUUUCAGCUGUUAACAAAACUUAGAAAUAGUAGUGUGAUAAAUAUAUAUCUUAGGCCAUAGCAUAAUAUUAAAAUGGAGACUAUGUGAUGUUAAAGUGCUUUUAUUCAUGUAAUUAACUCAAAGAAUUAUGAGGGUAAUUAGGUGAUGCCUCACAUUUGUGGAUUAUCCUAUGUGGAUGAAGAUAACAGUGACAGAAACCAGAACCCCAAAGGAAGAAUUUAUUGACUCUCCUUUAUCAGGAAGUGUAAAAACAAUACAAUGGAACCACAAGGAGAAAUAAAAUAUAUUGAUUUAAUCUACAGGAUGGCAUGAAGACAAGUCAAAGGUUAAAACCAAGCAAAAGAACAUCUAAACUCAAAGGAAUGUGUGAAUAAUGCAUAAUGGUCUGUGAAUAUGAAUAUGCAACAGGCAAUAGAAAAAGUAUUUAAAGGGUGUUUCCAAGAUAGUAAGUGUGCUCUUAGCUGAAUGCCAAGCACCUGGCCAUUUUAACCCUUUACUUUAUUUCUGUCUCUGUUGCAUUUUAUUAAACAUUUUAAAUUUUACCAGGAAAGUGAACCUUGUUUUUCACAACCAUACUGCCUCAAAGGAUUGAUAAUGAAGUUCUGGAAAUACUAACAUUUGGCAUCCAAUAUCAGCUUGGGAAUGAACUAUGACUGUACUUCCAUUCCUUCUUUCUUUUUAAGGAAUAAUCACAAGGGUUCCACCAUGGCAUUGAGGUUCUUAAUCUACUUGUCUGGCAUAAUGAAAAAUGAAAAGCAAAAACAACCAGCCACAACUUUAAGCCAGAAUAAUAGCGAUUCUGGCAAAAGUUUAAAGCCAGAAAUCCCACAGCUUACAACACCUACACUAUAUUCUCAAAAAUUUAGAUCAAUCAAAAAGGUAGUAAAAGAAACCACUUUAAACUUGACCUCAUCUCAAUAGAACUGGGAGCAGGGAAAAAAAACCAAAACCAAACAAACAAACAAAACACCGCACAAUAUAUACUAUCAGAAUAAAACACAAUACAAUAAUACUGCAGGCUAAAUGGACUUUUAAAGGAUGCAAGAUCAGCAUGUAGCUUCUUAAAGAAUCCAGACUACAUUUAGCUCUUCCACAAAGGGUGGAAUGCAGCAAAGAGGACUGUCAGCUGAAUCCAUUUGGGAUACUCAAAAACAAAGUCAUCUUCAUCUUGCCAAAACAGCUUCUGGAAUCAUAAUUUUGAAGAGAGAUCUUUGGCCCUGUUGAGUGUCAAUAGCUGUGAUGAUAAUCUAGAAGACACAUGAGCUACCACAAACCAUGGCUUUGCUUCUAACUUGUAUCUAGUCCAGAUAUAAGGCCAUUUCUGAAAAGCGAAAGG